CAGUAGCCGCGGUAAUACGGAGGAUCCAAGCGUUAUCCGGAAUCAUUGGGUUUAAAGGGUCCGUAGGCGGUCUUGUAAGUCAGUGGUGAAAGCCCAUCGCUCAACGGUGGAACGGCCAUUGAUACUGCAGGACUUGAAUUAUUGGGAAGUAACUAGAAUAUGUAGUGUAGCGGUGAAAUGCUUAGAGAUUACAUGGAAUACCAAUUGCGAAGGCAGGUUACUACCAAUUGAUUGACACUGAUGGACGAAAGCGUGGGUAGCGAACAGGAUUAGAUACCCCUGUAGUCCCUGUCUCUUAUAC
rnacentral:rRNA from 1 species